CCUACGGGAGGCAGCAGUGGGGAAUAUUGCACAAUGGGGGAAACCCUGAUGCAGCGACGCCGCGUGAGUGAAGAAGUAUUUCGGUACGUAAAGCUCUAUCAGCAGGGAAGAAAAUGACGGUACCUGACUAAGAAGCCCCGGCUAACUACGUGCCAGCAGCCGCGGUAAUACGUAGGGGGCAAGCGUUAUCCGGAUUUACUGGGUGUAAAGGGAGCGUAGACGGCAGCGCAAGUCUGGAGUGAAAUCCCAUGGCUUAACCAUGGAACUGCUUUGGAAACUGUGCAGCUAGAGUGCAGGAGAGGUAAGCGGAAUUCCUAGUGUAGCGGGGAAAUGCGUAGAGAUUAGGAGGAACACCAGUGGCGAAGGCGGCUUACUGGACUGUAACUGACGUUGAGGCUCGAAAGCGUGGGGAGCAAACAGGAUUAGAUACCCCGGUAGUC
rnacentral:rRNA from 1 species